rnacentral:rRNA from 1 species
UACGGGGGGAGCAAACGUUGUUCGGAAUCACUGGGCGUAAAGGGCGUGUAGGCGGCUGGAUAAGUGGGAUGUUAAAUCCCCCGGCUCAACCGGGGACCUGCAUCUCAUACUGUUCAGCUCGAGCACAUCAGAGGAGACUGGAAUUCCCGGUGUAGCGGUGAAAUGCGUAGAUAUCUGGAGGAACACCGGUGGCGAAGGCGGCAUCCUGGACCGGUAUUGACGCUGAGGCGCGAAAGCCAGGGGAGCAAAGCGGG